rnacentral:rRNA from 1 species
AGUGAACGCUGGCGGUAGGCCUAACACAUGCAAGUCGAACGGCAGCACAGUAAGAGCUUGCUCUUACGGGUGGCGAGUGGCGGACGGGUGAGGAAUACAUCGGAAUCUACUUUUUCGUGGGGGAUAACGUAGGGAAACUUACGCUAAUACCGCAUACGACCUACGGGUGAGAGCAGGGGAUCUUCGGACCUUGCGCGAUUGAAUGAGCCGAUGUCGGAUUAGCUAGUUGGCGGGGUAAAGGCCCACCAAGGCGACGAUCCGUAGCUGGUCUGAGAGGAUGAUCAGCCACACUGGAACUGAGACACGGUCCAGACUCCUACGGGAGGCAGCAGUGGGGAAUAUUGGACAAUGGGCGCAAGCCUGAUCCAGCCAUACCGCGUGGGUGAAGAAGGCCUUCGGGUUGUAAAGCCCUUUUGUUGGGAAAGAAAAGCAGCAGGUUAAUACCCCGCUGUUCUGACGGUACCCAAGGAAUAAGCACCGGCUAACUUCGUG